AGACAGAGUGAGUGAUUGAGAGAGACAGAGAGAGAGAGAGAGAAAGGAUUAUCAAAAUUUGAAAAUUUACAUUUCUUUAAACUUUCAAAGGGGUUUAUUGUCGGGCCAAAAGUUCUGACAAAAGUCCUCUAGGGAUUUAAAAUAAUAAAAAAAAAAAAAAAAAAAAAAGUGGAUUAACAAUGGCACCCAAGAAUUUUAAAA